ACAGCCGGCCGGUCUGCCGCUCGCUACGGCGGGAGGAAAGUCCGGGCAACGCAGGGCGCCAUACUUCCUAACGGGAAGCCGUUCGUGAGGGCGGAGUAGCAUAACAGAGAAUAACCGCCGGACGCUCGUCCGGUAAGGGUGAAAAGGUGAGGUAAGAGCUUACCGGGUUCCGUAGCAAUGCGGAGCGCCGUAUGCCUUAUGGGUUGCAAGGUCACGUAUACCGGCGUUUGAGGGUUGCCCGCCUGAUGCCGGGGGGUAGACUGCUCGAGCGCAUCGGUGACGGUGCGCCAAGAUCAAUGGCAGACACUCUUUCCCGCAAGGGAGGAGUACAGAACCCGGCUUACAGGCCGACUGUCUUU
rnacentral:RNase_P_RNA from 1 species